UGGCGGACGGGUGAGUAACGCGUAAAGAACUUGCCCUUAGACUGGGAUAACAGAGGGAAACUUCUGAUAAUACUGGAUAAGUUAGUAUAUCGCAUGAUAUGCAAAUGAAAGCUACGGCACUAAAGGAGAGCUUUGCGUCCUAUUAGCUAGUUGGUAAGGUAAGAGCUUACCAAGGCGAUGAUAGGUAGCCGGCCUGAGAGGGUGGACGGCCACAAGGGGACUGAGAUACGGCCCUUACUCCUACGGGAGGCAGCAGCU
rnacentral:rRNA from 1 species